UACAGAGGUCUCAAGCGUUGUUCGGAUUCAUUGGGCGUAAAGGGGUGCGUAGGUGGCGCCGUAAGUCGGGGUGUGAAAUUUCGGAGCUUAACUCCGAAACUGCAUUCGAUACUGCGGUGCUUGAGGACUGGAGAGGAGACUGGAAUUCAUGGUGUAGCAGUGAAAUGCGUAGAGAUCAUGAGGAAGACCAGUGGCGAAGGCGGGUCUCUGGACAGUUCCUGACACUGAGGCACGAAGGCCAGGGGAGCAAACGGG
rnacentral:rRNA from 1 species